AUUGAACGCUGGCGGCAGGCCUAACACAUGCAAGUCGAGCGGAUGAAGGGAGCUUGCUCCUGGAUUCAGCGGCGGACGGGUGAGUAAUGCCUAGGAAUCUGCCUGGUAGUGGGGGAUAACGUCCGGAAACGGGCGCUAAUACCGCAUACGUCCUGAGGGAGAAAGUGGGGGAUUUUCGGACCUCACGCUAUCAGAUGAGCCUAGGUCGGAUUAGCUAGUUGGUGGGGUAAAGGCCUACCAAGGCGACGAUCCGUAACUGGUCUGAGAGGAUGAUCAGUCACACUGGAACUGAGACACGGUCCAGACUCCUACGGGAGGCAGCAGUGGGGAAUAUUGGACAAUGGGCGAAAGCCUGAUCCAGCCAUGCCGCGUGUGUGAAGAAGGCCUUCGGAUUGUAAAGCACUUUAAGUUGGGAGGAAGGGCAGUAAGUUAAUACCUUGCUGUUUUGACGUUACCAACAGAAUAAGCACCGGCUAACUUCGUG
rnacentral:rRNA from 1 species